rnacentral:misc_RNA from 1 species
GGCGACGGCUACCAGUGCCGCGCCGACCACUGCGGCGUCGACGGCGGCGGCGCCGACCACGGCCGGCGCCACGGUCGAGCUGGUCAACGACCAGUCGGCGGCGGGCGGCGCCGUGACCGAUCUCAGCGAGGCCGACGUCCACGGUGACCUCGACGUGUAUGCCGUGAUGGAGUCGAUCACCGACAGUGUGGUGACGAUCAGCUCGACAGUCACCGAAGGCGCCGCGACGGGCGAGUCGGUCGGGACCGGCGUGAUCGUGUCGGCCGACGGCCAGAUCCUCACCAACAGCCACGUCGUCGCCGGCGCCACCGCAGUGCGCGUGCGCUUCGCCGGCGACACCGAACCGACACCGGCGACGAUCGUCGCGGCCAACGCCGCCAACGACCUCGCGCUCCUCCAGGUCGACGUCGACCGCGAUCUCGAGCCGGUCACGUUCGCCGACUCCGACGACAUCCAGGUCGGCGACGAGGUGAUGGCGAUCGGCUACGCGCUCGACCUCGACGGCGAUCCCUCGGUGACGACGGGCAUCGUGUCGGCCACCAACCGCACGAUGCCGGCCGACAACGGCGACGCCCUCGACGGUUUGAUCCAGACCGACGCGGCGAUCUCCUCGGGCAACUCCGGGGGACCGCUCGUCAACACCCGCGGUGAGGUGGUCGGCAUCAACACCGCCGUCAUCACGAGCGGUCCCC